GACGUAGGGCGCGGGCGUUGUCCGGAUUUAUUGGGCGUAAAGAGCUCGUAGGCGGUUUGUCGCGUCGUCUGUGAAAACCCACGGCUCAACUGUGGGCUUGCAGUCGAUACGGGCAGGCUAGAGUUCGGUAGGGGAGACUGGAAUUCCUGGUGUAGCGGUGAAAUGCGCAGAUAUCAGGAGGAACACCGGUGGCGAAGGCGGGUCUCUGGGCCGAUACUGACGCUGAGGAGCGAAAGCGUGGGGAGCGAACAGG
rnacentral:rRNA from 1 species